GUCAGGAAGACGCCGGAAGGAGGCCCGAAGGGAGUUCCUGGUCCGGUCCGGCCAGAUCCGGGCCUUUUCCGGUGUCGGGAUCCCUUUCUCCGUAGCCCGUCAAGGAAGCCCCCGUCUGCCUAGCCUCGAGCCCCGCGGCCAAGUUACUGAAGAGCCCGUGACCUGGAAUGUGCCGGGGACUGAGGAGGACUCAAACCCAGGACCGAGCCCCACCGAGGGCCUCCCAACUCUUCUGAGGAGAUGAACAGACCUAGGCACCGCGAGCCCACCUAACCCCACCCAACUGUUCUGCAUCUCACACCCACCCUAGAUGACCCUUCUCUCCCUUCUGCCCAGGAGGCGGUGGGACCCAAGCUCGAGCUGCUAAUAAAGCAGUACCUCUUGCUUUA